UAGCCUAGCUCGCACACGGUUGUAGAGCCACCCUUGACCCCCUCCAAGCCCGCAAAGGCACUGCCGUGCUUUGCCACCCUUGCAGUGCCACCGCAGCGAGGUCCCUGGCAGCACGCUUGCAGCCGCGUCUGCUCCUGCCAUGGCCGAUGCCGCCCGAGCUUUCCCCUAGCGCCAGCUAGCCUUUGAACCCCCCUGUGCAUCCACGGCCUGCUUCCAGUCCUGCUACUGCCCCUGCCAUACGCUGCAGCCCCUGCCGCGCCUGAGCGCUAGCCGUCAUCGCCGCCUGUUGUGCCCAACCCCGAUCAAGCCACCUGGCGCGCCCUGAGACCACCAGCUCGUCGUGCUC
rnacentral:lncRNA from 1 species